GUCUUGUCUUUGCGACAAAGAUCAAGACCAUACAUACAGAACAUUGACGAUGGUGUAUUCAGAUUAGGAGCAUAUAGGGUUGUCAUAGCGGCAAAGAUUAAGACCCAUACAUGAUAACGUGAGUUGAUGUGUUUUCAUAUCUGGAGUAUUAAGGUGUGUUUAUUUUCUUUUCUUUUUCUUGUCUUAAUUUUCUGAAGGCAAUACUAUGACGUAUUUGUUUCUGUUCAUACACAUGCCUUUCUGUAUUUUAUACGCUCAGCAGGAUUACCAUGGAAACUUACAUCUACAUCAAGGCAAUGGUAUAAAUGGAUGACAGACGUUCGAAUGUACAAAGUUAUACAGUAGAUUUUGGAGCAUAUAAGCUAUGUUGGCUGAUGUUGACUGUACAAGCGCGUGUGAAGAUGUUGUGUUGUAGAUGUCACAAUAGUCUAGUGCAGCUCGGUCCUUUUUUUUGGUGCAGGGAGGUAUGUAAUUUUCAUCUGUACGGUUCGUUUAUUUCUUUCCCGUUAUCUUAUCUUUUCGUUGUACUCAAAUAUCAGACGUGCAAUCUUCAAUCAACUUAUAUGCGGGCAUUCAUUUUCAUUUUAUAUUUAUAAAUUUGUUAUUAAUUGGUCAUCAUGUGCACUGUUUUAAUUAUCCCCUAUUGCUUCUUUUCUUUUUGUCUUUUAAUUGAUUAUUGUUUGAUAAUGACUAUCAAUAUUCGUCAACAGUACAUUACCGUUGAAUGUAGCUUA